UCCUAUUAGAUUUUGGUCCAAUUUCCUAUAGGAAUUCCUAUAGGAUCCUAUAGGAAUUCCUAUAGGAAAUUGGGCCAAAAUCUAAUAGG